rnacentral:rRNA from 1 species
CCUACGGGAGGCAGCAGUGAGGAAUAUUGGUCAAUGGACGAGAGUCUGAACCAGCCAAGUAGCGUGAAGGAUGACUGCCCUAUGGGUUGUAAACUUCUUUUAUAUGGGAAUAAAAUGUUCCACGUGUGGGUUUUUGUAUGUACCAUAUGAAUAAGGAUCGGCUAACUCCGUGCCAGCAGCCGCGGUAAUACGGAGGAUCCGAGCGUUAUCCGGAUUUAUUGGGUUUAAAGGGAGCGUAGGUGGAUUGUUAAGUCAGUUGUGAAAGUUUGCGGCUCAACCGUAAAAUUGCAGUUGAUACUGGCAGUCUUGAGUACAGUAGAGGUGGGCGGAAUUCGUGGUGUAGCGGUGAAAUGCUUAGAUAUCACGAAGAACUCCGAUUGCGAAGGCAGCUCACUGGACUGCAACUGACACUGAGGCUCGAAAGUGUGGGUAUCAAACAGGAUUAGAUACCCCUGUAGUC